rnacentral:lncRNA from 1 species
CACAGAAAGAAGGUGUUGAUUAUAACGAGAUUUUCUCACCAGUUGUCAAGUACACUACUAUUAGGGUCAUGCUCGCAUUGGUUGCGCUCUUUGACUGGGAACUUGAACAACUCGAUGUAAAAACCGCUUUUUUACAUGGAGAGCUUGAUGAACAAAUCUUUAUGAAUCAACCAAAAGGUUUUAAAGACAAGUUAAAACCUGAUUAUGUGUGUUUUCUGAAGAGAUCCCUAUACGGUCUAAAGCAAUCACCUAGACAGUGGUACAAGAGGUUUGAUUCCUUUGUACUCACUAUAGGAUUUCAAAGAAGUAAAUUCGAUCACUGCCUAUACUUUCAACACAACGAGACUGAUAACAAUUAUUUGUUCUUGUUGCUCUAUGUGGACGACAUGCUUUUAGUUGGAUCAUCUCCUAAGUGGAUAAACAAUAUAAAAGCAGAUCUUAGUGGAGAAUUUGACAUGAAAGACCUAGGAAAGGCUAAAAGGAUUCUAGGCAUGGAAAUAGAACGAAAUAGGUCAAAUUCCAUCGUAUUCUUGCAUCAGUCUCCAUACAUAUCAAAGGUGUUGAAAAGGUUUAAUAUGAGUGACUGCAAACCUGUCACGUUGCCUCUUGCAAACCAUUUUGUUCUAUCUAAAGAACAAGCUCCCUGCAAUGAACGUGAAGUGGAAUACAUGAGUAAAAUUCCAUACUCAAAUGUGAUUGGUUCCAUAAUGUAUUUGAUGGUUUGCACUAGACCGGACUUAGGAUUCGCUGUUAGUACUCUCAGUAGGUACAUGUCUAAUCCAGGUCCUGAACAUUGGGAAGCAUUAAAGUGGCUUUUAAGAUAUUUGAAGGGUACAAGUGACGUAGGUCUAAAAUUUAGUGCUAAUAAGGAAGGCGUGAAAUUAAAGGGUUUUGUAGAUGCUGACUAUGCAGGAGAUAGGGAUGGUAGGAAAUCAACUUCCUCUUACGUAUUCACCUUAUCAAAUUCGUGUGUUAGUUGGAAAUCACAGUUACAACACAUAGUUGCACUAUCCACUACAGA